GACGGUACUUGAUGAAUAAGCCACGGCUAAUUCCGUGCCAGCAGCCGCGGUAAUACGGGAGUGGCAAGCGUUAUCCGGAAUUAUUGGGCGUAAAGCGUCCGCAGGCGGCCCUUCAAGUCUGCUGUUAAAAAGUGGAGCUUAACUCCAUCAUGGCAGUGGAAACUGAGGGGCUUGAGUGUGGUAGGGGCAGAGGGAAUUCCCGGUGUAGCGGUGAAAUGCGUAGAUAUCGGGAAGAACACCAGUGGCGAAGGCGCUCUGCUGGGCCAUCACUGACGCUCAUGGACGAAAGCCAGGGGAGCGAAAGGGAUUAGAUACCCCUGUAGUCCUGGCCGUAAACGAUGAACACUAGGUGUCGGGGGAAUCGACCCCCUCGGUGUCGUAGCCAACGCGUUAAGUGUUCCGCCUGGGGAGUACGCACGCAAGUGUGAAACUCAAAGGAAUUGACGGGGGCCCGCACAAGCGGUGGAGUAUGUGGUUUAAUUCGAUGCAACGCGAAGAACCUUACCAGGGUUUGACAUCCUGCGAAUCUCUUGGAAACGAGAGAGUGCCUUCGGGAGCGCAGUGACAGGUGGUGCAUGGCUGUCGUCAGCUCGUGUCGUGAGAUGUUGGGUUAAGUCCCGCAACGAGCGCAACCCACGUCUUUAGUUGCCAGCAUUUAGUUGGGCACUCUAGAGAGACCGCCGGUGAUAAACCGGAGGAAGGUGUGGAUGACGUCAAGUCAUCAUGCCCCUUACAUCCUGGGCUACACACGUACUACAAUGCUACGGACAAAGGGCAGCAAGUUCGCGAGGACAAGCAAAUCCCAUAAACCGUGGCUCAGUUCAGAUCGUAGGCUGCAACUCGCCUACGUGAAGGAGGAAUCGCUAGUAAUCGCAGGUCAGCAUACUGCGGUGAAUACGUUCCCGGGCCUUGUACACACCGCCCGUCACACCAUGGAAGUUGGCCACGCCCGAAGCCGUUACUCCAACCCUUGUGGAGGAGGACGUCGAAGGUGGGGCUGAUGACUGGGGUG
rnacentral:rRNA from 1 species